rnacentral:ncRNA from 2 species
UACUUGGUUGAUCCUGCCAAGGAAGCACACUUAGGUCAUAGAUUAAGCCAUGCAAGUGUUAGUUCAGGUAACGAAACUGCGAAUAGCUCAUUAAUACGCUCAGAAUCUAUUUGGCGGCGACCAACAGGUCUUAAAUGGAUAGCAGCAGCAACUCUGGUGCUAAUACAUGCGAUUGUUUCUCCAGAUGUGAAUUAUGGAGGAAAAGUUGACCUCAUCAGAGGCACGCCAUUCGACUGAGUGACCUAUCAGCUUGUACUUAGGGUCUUUACCUAGGUAGGCUAUCACGGGUAACGGGCGGUUACCGUCGGACUGCCGGAGAAGGCGCCUGAGAGAUAGCGACUAUAUCCACGGGUAGCAGCAGGCGCGAAACUUUCCCACUCGAGACUUUCGGAGGAGGUAAUGACCAGUUCCAUUGGUGCCUUUUGGUACUGUGGAUAGGGGUACGGUUUUCCACCGUACCGAAACCUAGCAGAGGGCCAGUCUGGUGCCAGCAGCUGCGGUAAUUCCAGCUCUGCGAGUUUGCUCCCAUAUUGUUGCAGUUAAAACGCCCGUAGUCUGAAUUGGCCAGCAAUGGUCGUACGUAUUUUUACGUUCACUGUGAACAAAUCAGGACGCUUAGAGUAUGCCCACAUGAAUGACUCAGCGCAGUAUGAAGUCUUUGUUUUCUUCCGAAAACAAGCUCAAUGAGAGCCAUCGGG